rnacentral:rRNA from 1 species
AAUCAACGCUGGCGGCGUGCCUCAGACAUGCAAGUCGAACGCGAAAGGCUCCUUCGGGGGCCGAGUAGAGUGGCGCACGGGUGAGUAACACGUAGGUAAUUUGCCUUUGGGUGGGGAAUAACUCAGGGAAACUUGAGCUAAUACCGCAUAAUGCAGCGGCUCGACAUCGAGACAGUUGUUAAAGCGGGGGAUUCGCAAGAACCUCGCGCCUGAAGAGAAGCCUGCGGCAGAUUAGCUAGUUGGUAGGGUAAUGGCCUACCAAGGCAACGAUCUGUAACCGGCCUGAGAGGGCGGUCGGUCACACUGACACUGACAUACGGGUCAGACUCCUACGGGAGGCAGCAGUCGGGAAUUUUGGACAAUGGGCGAAAGCCUGAUCCAGCCAUGCCGCGUGAGUGAUGAAGGCCCUAGGGUUGUAAAGCUCUUUCGGCGGGGACGAUAAUGACGGUACCCGCAGAAGAAGCCCGGCUAACUUCGUGCCAGCCGCCGCCGUAAU